rnacentral:rRNA from 1 species
GACGAACGCUGGCGGCGUGCCUAAUACAUGCAAGUUGAGCGAUGAAGAUUGGUGCUUGCACCAAUUUGAAGAGCAGCGAACGGGUGAGUAACGCGUGGGGAAUCUGCCUUUGAGCGGGGGACAACAUUUGGAAACGAAUGCUAAUACCGCAUAACAACUUUAAACAUAAGUUUUAAGUUUGAAAGAUGCAAUUGCAUCACUCAAAGAUGAUCCCGCGUUGUAUUGGCUAGUUGGUGAGGUAAAGGCUCACCAAGGCGAUGAUACAUAGCCGACCUGAGAGGGUGAUCGGCCACAUUGGGACUGAGACACGGCCCAAACUCCUACGGGAGGCAGCAGUAGGGAAGCUUCGGCAAUGGACGAAAGUCUGACCGAGCAACGCCGCGUGAGUGAAGAAGGUUUUCGGAUCGUAAAACUCUGUUGGUAGAGAAGAACGUUGGUGAGAGUGGAAAGCUCAUCAAGUGACGGUAACGACCCAGAAAGGGACGGCUAACUACGU